GUCAGUCUGAACUCCGAAGUGGAAAACUGAACCAUCCCUACCCGAAAUGCACUGUAUUCUUGAUCAGCGCCCCUUGGAAAUAGCCCCCCUGCAAAGAAUAAAUAGCAAGCAAGAGAACAUUGUCAGAGCCCUGGAGAGAGAAACUAAAGAAGUCUCGGUUCAAAGAUCUGUUGCCAGGAGCCAGGAGAGCCAUUGAAGCUGACAACAUCAAAGGGAGAACUGGCUGAUGGCCCCGAAGUGCACGAGAGCACUUCCUGGUUAUAUCUUAUGGAGGAAAGGUGACUUUAAUAUCACACAUGGUAACUUCCUUCUGAACCCCCUUAAAUCCUACUUCUGCCUUAGUCACACUGGGUCUAAAACUUCCCAUUUGUUAAAAUAGAUUUUAAAAUACAUAUUCUUUAUAAAAAUGAGAAGGAAUGAACAAAAGCAAAACGCGAAGUAAUAUCUGUGACUUCUAAAUACUGUAAGCUUAUGGUUUCAUGUUAUGAUCUCUCUGUCUUUAUCUCUCUGUGUGUUUGUGUGUGGGCGCAUGCGUGUGUGUCCCUACGGCAAGAAUACAGAACAUAGGUAUAAUGUACUAAGAUUAUAAGUUUACAUAUUCUAGGUGAAAAAUACCUUCUUUUUAUAACCAAUAAUUUAUUUCACCUGGAAAUCAAAAACUCCACACGAUUUAGCAGAUCCUCUAAAUAGAAAAGUACAAAAGCCUUGCAGAAAAUCAAUAAAAAUAAAAUUAUAGGCACGACAAGAAUUAUAAACAUCCCAACUUGUUACAUAAAGAAUAAUCAAACAAAUUACACACAUUUCCAUCUCUACUUCUGACGCCCAGCACAAGAGUGGUUUGAAGUUUAUGAACUUCAACAUCUAAAAGAAUCAGUCAGAUCAACAGAUACAGCGAAUAAAACGUCUCUUCAGUGACAUUCUUCUUUUACUUGCUUUUCAAUAUUUUCCACCAAAGCAUCUUCAGUCUCAUUCAAAGUGCUUUGAGAUGAUAAUUGAAGAUAAAGGGACAGAAGCUUGAUUAUCGAAAAAAAAUGUGGGAUACUUAAUGUGUCUGGCAAGCAAAUUAAAAUUUAAAAGAAAGGGAGUUUUCAAAAGAAGCUUUCAUUUUAACCUAUUUGAAAUUCAAGGACAGAUAUGAACUCAAAAUUGACUGGAUUUCAUCAUUAAAGAACAUGGAUUUGCUGAAUCAUGGUGCUUUAUUCCCAGAGAAUAUAUACAACCUUAUCAAAUAUUACUUCUUGUUGAUAAAUUGCAAUUGUACAGAAAGUCUGUAGAAUUUUAGCAGGCAUUUUAAAAAUGAAAUUGCUAUCCUAGUAAUCUAAGUUCAAAACUUAGGCAAAUAUCUGGUUUUCACACAGCUAGAAACAAUUCCUUUUUUUCCAUUUUUUUUCUUUUUCCGGAGCUGUGGACCGAACCCAGGGCCUUGCGAAUCCAAGGCCUUGUGAGCCCAGGGCCUUGCGCUUGCUAGGCAAGCACUCUACCACUGAGCUAAAUCCCCAACCCCUAGAAACAAUUCCUACUAAAACAUAACAUAAUUACAUUAAUAUGAGCUUCCAUGAAGCUUUUCAAUGAACUACAUUAUGUAGUAAACAUUCUUUUCACUACAGAAUGCUGUCUAAUUAAGUAUAAUGAAGUUAAACUGAAUGGAGUAAAUGGUUAUACAAAAAAAUAGGAAAAUAUUUGUGUAUGGUUUUUAUAUGCCUAAAGAUCACCCUUUAAAGCUACAAAGCUUAGAGCUUUUUGAAUACUUAUCUUAAUCUUAUCAAUAACAAAAUCAAUUUUGAAUAUUACAAAGAAAUUGAAUAGAACAAUAGGUUCUAAGGACCAAGUUGCUGUGUUCUGCCCUCUGCUGUUCACUUCUGGAAACUACGUAGCCCUUAAGCAUUCUUUCAGAUGCAAGAAAAUUCACAAAAAGAAAAGACAAUGUUACCUUUCUCAUUGAUUGUUUCAAUGGUUGUUGCUGCUGUUGUAUGUACUUUAAGAUAUAAUUUGUAGGAUGAUAAGUGUUAAAUAUAAAUUUGCUCCUAUCUUAGUCCACCUUUAUUUCAAUUACAAUUGCUUUCCAAUUUUAAAGUGAAAUUUCAAAAAUUAUGUAAUGAGUUUAAAUGCUUUUUAACUGUUUCCUCUCUUAAAAUUUUUAUAUUCAUAUUCUAUAAUUAAAAUAAUUUCCCUAGA